GGGCAAUUAGCUCAGUUGGUAGAGCGUUCGCUUUGCACCUCCAAAGCCUGCGAAAGGUCGGGAUUUCGAUUAUCCCAUUGUCCA